rnacentral:rRNA from 1 species
CCUACGGGAGGCAGCAGUGGGGAAUAUUGCACAAUGGGGGAAACCCUGAUGCAGCGACGCCGCGUGAGUGAAGAAGUAAUUCGUUACGUAAAGCUCUAUCAGCAGGGAAGAAAAUGACGGUACCUGAGUAAGAAGCCCCGGCUAACUACGGGCCAGCAGCCGCGGUGAUACGUAGGGGGCAACCGUUAUCCGGAUUUACUGGGUGUAAAGGGAGCGUAGACGGUGCGCCAAGUCUGGAGUGAAAUGCCGCGGCUUAACUGCGGAACUGCGUUGGAAACUGGGGAACUAGAGUGCGGGAGGGGUAAGCGGAAUUCGGAGUGUAGCGGUGAAAUGCGUAGAUAUUAGGAGGAACACCGGUGGCGAAGGCGGCUUACUGGACCGUAACUGACGUUGAGGCUCGAAAGCGUGGGGAGCAAACAGGAUUAGAUACCCCGGUAGUC